GAUGAACGCUGGCGGCGUGCCUAAUACAUGCAAGUCGAGCGAAUGGAUUAAGAGCUUGCUCUUAUGAAGUUAGCGGCGGACGGGUGAGUAACACGUGGGUAACCUGCCCAUAAGACUGGGAUAACUCCGGGAAACCGGGGCUAAUACCGGAUAACAUUUUGAACCGCAUGGUUCGAAAUUGAAAGGCGGCUUCGGCUGUCACUUAUGGAUGGACCCGCGUCGCAUUAGCUGGUUGGUGAGGUAACGGCUCACCAAGGCAACGAUGCGUAGCCGACCGGAAAGGGUGAUCGGCCACACUGGGACAGAGACACGGCCCAGACUCCUACGGGAGGCAGCAGUAGGGAAUCUUCCGCAAUGGACGAAAGUCUGACGGAGCAACGCCGCGUGGGUGAUGAAGGCUUUCGGGUCGUAAAACUCUGUUGUUAGGGAAGAACAAGUGCUAGUUGAAUAAGCUGGCACCUUGACGGUACCUAACCAGAAAGCCACGGCUAACUACGUGCCAGCAGCCGCAGUAA
rnacentral:rRNA from 1 species